rnacentral:rRNA from 1 species
GGUUAAGCGACUAAGCGUACACGGUGGAUGCCCUGGCAGUCAGAGGCGAUGAAGGACGUGCUAAUCUGCGAAAAGCGACGGCGAGGUGAUAUGAACCCUUGACCCGUCGAUGUCCGAAUGGGGAAACCCAGUGCAAUCCGUUGCACUAUCGUUAACUGAAUACAUAGGUUAACGAGGCGAACCGGGGGAACUGAAACAUCUAAGUACCCCGAGGAAAAGAAAUCAACCGAGAUUCCCCCAGUAGCGGCGAGCGAACGGGGAGCAGCCCGGAGUCUGAAUCAGCUUGUGUGUUAGUGGAACGGUCUGGAAAGUCCGACGGUACAGGGUGAUAGUCCCGUACACGAAAGCACACUUGCUGUGAACUCGAAGAGUAGGGCGGGACACGUGGUAUCCUGUCUGAAUAUGGGGGGACCAUCCUCCAAGGCUAAAUACUCCUGACUGACCGAUAGUGAACCAGUACCGUGAGGGAAAGGCGAAAAGAACCCCGGCGAGGGGAGUGAAAAAGAACCUGAAACCGUGUACGUACAAGCAGUGGGAGCCUCUUUUAUGGGGUGACUGCGUACCUUUUGUAUAAUGGGUCAGCGACUUAUAUUCUGUAGCAAGGUUAACCGUAUAGGGGAGCCGAAGGGAAACCGAGUCUUAACUGGGCGUUAAGUUGCAGGGUAUAGACCCGAAACCCGGUGAUCUAGCCAUGGGCAGGUUGAAGGUUGGGUAACACUAACUGGAGGACCGAACCGACUAAUGUUGAAAAAUUAGCGGAUGACCUGUGGCUGGGGGUGAAAGGCCAAUCAAACCGGGAGAUAGCUGGUUCUCCCCGAAAGCUAUUUAGGUAGCGCCUCGUGAACUCAUCUUCGGGGGUAGAGCACUGUUUCGGCUAGGGGGCCAUCCCGGCUUACCAACCCGAUGCAAACUACGAAUACCGAAGAAUGUUAUCACGGGAGACACACGGCGGGUGCUAACGUCCGUCGUGAAGAGGGAAACAACCCAGACCGCCAGCUAAGGUCCCAAAGUCAUGGUUAAGUGGGAAACGAUGUGGGAAGGCACAGACAGCCAGGAUGUUGGCUUAGAAGCAGCCAUCAUUUAAAGAAAGCGUAAUAGCUCACUGGUCGAGUCGGCCUGCGCGGAAGAUGUAACGGGGCUAAACCAUGCACCGAAGCUGCGGCAGCGACACUAUGUGUUGUUGGGUAGGGGAGCGUUCUGUAAGCCGUUGAAGGUGUGCUGUGAGGCAUGCUGGAGGUAUCAGAAGUGCGAAUGCUGACAUAAGUAACGAUAAAGCGGGUGAAAAGCCCGCUCGCCGGAAGACCAAGGGUUCCUGUCCAACGUUAAUCGGGGCAGGGUGAGUCGACCCCUAAGGCGAGGCCGAAAGGCGUAGUCGAUGGGAAACAGGUUAAUAUUCCUGUACUUGGUGUUACUGCGAAGGGGGGACGGAGAAGGCUAUGUUAGCCGGGCGACGGUUGUCCCGGUUUAAGCAUGUAGGCGGAGGUUCCAGGUAAAUCCGGUACCUUUUAACGCUGAGGUGUGAUGACGAGGCACUACGGUGCUGAAGUAACAAAUGCCCUGCUUCCAGGAAAAGCCUCUAAGCAUCAGGUAACACGAAAUCGUACCCCAAACCGACACAGGUGGUCAGGUAGAGAAUACCAAGGCGCUUGAGAGAACUCGGGUGAAGGAACUAGGCAAAAUGGUGCCGUAACUUCGGGAGAAGGCACGCUGAUAUGUAGGUGAAGCCCCUGCGGGUGGAGCUGAAAUCAGUCGAAGAUACCAGCUGGCUGCAACUGUUUAUUAAAAACACAGCACUGUGCAAACACGAAAGUGGACGUAUACGGUGUGACGCCUGCCCGGUGCCGGAAGGUUAAUUGAUGGGGUUAGCGGCAACGCGAAGCUCUUGAUCGAAGCCCCGGUAAACGGCGGCCGUAACUAUAACGGUCCUAAGGUAGCGAAAUUCCUUGUCGGGUAAGUUCCGACCUGCACGAAUGGCGUAAUGAUGGCCAGGCUGUCUCCACCCGAGACUCAGUGAAAUUGAACUCGCUGUGAAGAUGCAGUGUACCCGCGGCAAGACGGAAAGACCCCGUGAACCUUUACUAUAGCUUGACACUGAACACUGGUCCUUGAUGUGUAGGAUAGGUGGGAGGCUUUGAAGCGUGGACGCCAGUCUGCGUGGAGCCGUCCUUGAAAUACCACCCUUUAAUGGCUGGUGUUCUAACGUUGACCCGUAAUCCGGGUUGCGGACAGUGUCUGGUGGGUAGUUUGACUGGGGCGGUCUCCUCCCAAAGAGUAACGGAGGAGCACGAAGGUUAGCUAAUCCUGGUCGGACAUCAGGAGGUUAGUGCAAUGGCAUAAGCUAGCUUGACUGCGAGAGUGACGGCUCGAGCAGGUGCGAAAGCAGGUCAUAGUGAUCCGGUGGUUCUGAAUGGAAGGGCCAUCGCUCAACGGAUAAAAGGUACUCCGGGGAUAACAGGCUGAUACCGCCCAAGAGUUCAUAUCGACGGCGGUGUUUGGCACCUCGAUGUCGGCUCAUCACAUCCUGGGGCUGAAGUAGGUCCCAAGGGUAUGGCUGUUCGCCAUUUAAAGUGGUACGCGAGCUGGGUUUAGAACGUCGUGAGACAGUUCGGUCCCUAUCUGCCGUGGGCGCUGGAGAAUUGAGGGGGGCUGCUCCUAGUACGAGAGGACCGGAGUGGACGCAUCACUGGUGUUCGGGUUGUCAUGCCAAUGGCACUGCCCGGUAGCUAAAUGCGGAAGAGAUAAGUGCUGAAAGCAUCUAAGCACGAAACUUGCCCCGAGAUGAGUUCUCCCUGAGACUUUAAGUCUCCUGAAGGAACGUUGAAGACGACGACGUUGAUAGGUCGGGUGUGUAAGCGCAGCGAUGCGUUGAGCUAACCGAUACUAAUGAACCGUGAGGCUUAACCUU